UACGUAGGGCGCAAGCGUUGUCCGGAAUUAUUGGGCGUAAAGAGCUCGUAGGCGGCUUGUCACGUCGGAUGUGAAAGCCCGGGGCUUAACUCCGGGUCUGCAUUCGAUACGGGCUAGCUAGAGUGUGGUAGGGGAGAUCGGAAUUCCUGGUGUAGCGGUGAAAUGCGCAGAUAUCAGGAGGAACACCGGAGGCGAAGGCGGCUGGCCUGGGCCUGAUCUGACGCUGAGGUGCGAAAGCGUGGGGGAGCGAAACGGG
rnacentral:rRNA from 1 species